GAUGAACGCUGGCGGCGUGCCUAAUACAUGCAAGUAGAACGCUGAAGCUUGGUGCUUGCACCGAGCGGAUGAGUUGCGAACGGGUGAGUAACGCGUAGGUAACCUGCCUCUUAGCGGGGGAUAACUAUUGGAAACGAUAGCUAAUACCGCAUAAAAGUCGAUAUCGCAUGAUGUUGACUUGAAAGGUGCAAUUGCAUCACUAAGAGAUGGACCUGCGUUGUAUUAGCUAGUUGGUGAGGUAACGGCUCACCAAGGCGACGAUACAUAGCCGACCUGAGAGGGUGAUCGGCCACACUGGGACUGAGACACGGCCCAGACUCCUACGGGAGGCGGCAGUAGGGAAUCUUCGGCAAUGGGGGCAACCCUGACCGAGCAACGCCGCGUGAGUGAAGAAGGUUUUCGGAUCGUAAAGCUCUGUUGUAAGAGAAGAACGAGUGUGAGAGUGGAAAGUUCACACUGUGACGGUAACUUACCAGAAAGGGACGGCUAACUACGUGCCAGCAGCCGCGGUAAUACGUAGGUCCCGAGCGUUAUCCGGAUUUAUUGGGCGUAAAGCGAGCGCAGGCGGUUAGAUAAGUCUGAAGUUAAAGGCUGUGGCUUAACCAUAGUACGCUUUGGAAACUGUUUAACUUGAGUGCAGAAGGGGAGAGUGGAAUUCCAUGUGUAGCGGUGAAAUGCGUAGAUAUAUGGAGGAACACCGGUGGCGAAAGCGGCUCUCUGGUCUGUAACUGACGCUGAGGCUCGAAAGCGUGGGGAGCAAACAGG
rnacentral:rRNA from 1 species